CACCGCGGUUAUACGAGGGGCCCAAGUUGAUAGCCACCGGCGUAAAGAGUGGUUAGGAUAAAUAAAAUACUAAAGCCGAACGCCCUCAGAGCUGUUAUACGCCCCCGAAGGUAAGAAGAUCAAUCACGAAAGUGGCUUUAUAAUGACUGAACCCACGAAAGCUAUGGCA
rnacentral:rRNA from 2 species